AAAUAUUUCAAGGUGAACUUGGGAGUUCAACAACUGCAGCGGUAAUUUGGAAGGAACUAAUCAGAAGAGCUUGUAUACAAAAGCCAGAAUCCCUAAAUGUGCAUUUGGCCUCAAUCUUUAUUGUGAACUGGAGAAAAUACAAAUAAAUUUAGCAUUAGAGAAGGUCAUUAAAAAUGAUUGCCCAACUUUGUUGUUUAGUGAGUGGAAAAUGCCUUUACAUGCAUGCUCUUAUAUUUUCCUGUGCAUUCAGAGCUUUGAAAUAGACAUUUAACAUCAGAAUCAGGAUUUUAAUUAUAUUAUUUAUAACUCCUUGAGAUGCUUAUUCAGAAGAUUUCAACAAUGUGGUGAGCAUCACAGAUUUUUAAGUUUAAUAUAAUUAACUCUGAUUUCUGUAGCUAUUAAUUGGAAAGUUGAGUCAAUAAAGAGCAUACGUUAAACAAGUCGUUCUUUAAUUAAAGCAUGAAUAUUGAAAAACGAAUCCACAAUGCUAAUUUUGAUUUCCUAGUUCACAGUUUAAUACCUGAGCAAACACUAGCAUAAAAGAAUAUACUGUUUCUGAGGGAUUUGAGUUUCAGCUCAAUAGUUUAGAAGAAUCCAAGUAUUUGAAUUGACAACUAAUUAAAUUAAUUGACAACUAAUUAAACAUUUUUUUAAAUUGUUUAAUGAAACCAUAGAAUAAACAUUCUACAGUCAAAAGUUUAAAAACACAGGAAGUUAUUAUUUUGGGGUUUCUCUACACUACGAACCAACACUUUUGAUACCAUCUUGGGAUUUUAAUAUAACCUAAAACCAGUCUGUUUGUCUGUCCCUCUCUUACGCACACACAGGCACACAGACACACAUCUACCAACUUUCUGUUCCAAUGUAAGUCAGUCAGAUCUUUUAGCUGUAAAUUUU
rnacentral:lncRNA from 1 species